rnacentral:rRNA from 1 species
GCGGCGUGCACUAAUACAUGCAAGUAGAACGCUGAAGACUUUAGCUUGCUAAAGUUGGAAGAGUUGCGAACGGGUGAGUAACGCGUAGGUAACCUGCCUACUAGCGGGGGAUAACUAUUGGAAACGAUAGCUAAUACCGCAUAACAGCAUUUAACACAUGUUAGAUGCUUGAAAGGAGCAAUUGCUUCACUAGUAGAUGGACCUGCGUUGUAUUAGCUAGUUGGUGAGGUAACGGCUCACCAAGGCGACGAUACAUAGCCGACCUGAGAGGGUGAUCGGCCACACUGGGACUGAGACACGGCCCAGACUCCUACGGGAGGCAGCAGUAGGGAAUCUUCGGCUUUGGGGGCAACCCUGACCGAGCAACGCCGCGUGAGUGAAGAAGGUUUUCGGAUCGUAAAGCUCCUGUUGUAAGAGAAGAACGUGUGUGAGAGUGGAAAGUUCACACAG